UACGUAGGUGGCAAGCGUUGUCCGGAUUUAUUGGGUUUAAAGGGUGCGUAGGCGGUCUAUUAAGUCAGUGGUGAAAUAUGGCAGCUCAACUGUCAAGGUGCCAUUGAUACUGAUGGACUUGAGUGAAGUCGAAGUAGGCGGAAUUGACGGUGUAGCGGUGAAAUGCUUAGAUAUCGUCAAGAACACCGAUAGUGAAGACAGCUUACUAGGCUUAUGCUGACGCUGAGGCACGAAAGUGUGGGGAUCAAACAGG
rnacentral:rRNA from 1 species